GACGAACGCUGGCGGCGUGCCUAAUACAUGCAAGUUGAGCGAUGAAGAUUGGUGCUUGCACCAAUUUGAAGAGUAGCGAACGGGUGAGUAACGCGUGGGGAAUCUGCCUUUGAGCGGGGGACAACAUUUGGAAACGAAUGCUAAUACCGCAUAACAACUUUAAACAUAAGUUUUAAGUUUGAAAGAUGCAAUUGCAUCACUCAAAGAUGAUCCCGCGUUGUAUUAGCUAGUUGGUGAGGUAAAGGCUCACCAAGGCGAUGAUACAUAGCCGACCUGAGAGGGUGAUCGGCCACAUUGGGACUGAGACACGGCCCAAACUCCUACGGGAGGCAGCAGUAGGGAAUCUUCGGCAAUGGACGAAAGUCUGACCGAGCAACGCCGCGUGAGUGAAGAAGGUUUUCGGAUCGUAAAACUCUGUUGGUAGAGAAGAACGUUGGUGAGAGUGGAAAGCUCAUCAAGUGACGGUAACUACCCAGAAAGGGACGGCUAACUACGUG
rnacentral:rRNA from 1 species